rnacentral:misc_RNA from 1 species
UUAAGUUCAGCGGGUAUUCCUACCUGAUCCGAGGUCAACAUUCAGAAGUUGGGGGUUUAACGGCAUGGCCGCACCGCGUUCCAGUUGCGAGGUGUUAGCUACUACGCAAUGGAGGCUGCAGUGAGACCGCCACUAGAUUUAGGGGGCGGCUGGUCCUAAGACUCGCCGAUCCCCAGCACCAAACCCGGGGGCUUGAGGGU